UUUAAAUAUGUCUGUAUCUUUUUUGAUCAGUCUGAGCAAUUUGCAUGCUAUGCAGCAGUCAUCUUCUAUACUUUAAUAAAUAUCAAGGUUUUACAUUAAUGUCAAGAUAGUACAUCAAAAAUUCAUGGAAUAUGUGACUUUUUUCAAGGAUAUUUAAUACUUAAUGCAUUUGUGUCAUUUUUCUUUCUAGAUAUAUUGACAGGUUUUAUUAAGUGUUUGUUAGGGAGAUUUCUUUUUUACCAAGGGACUAUAAAGAGAAGCUGCAUACUAAAUCAAAUUUUUAAUCAGAAUAUUGUUCCUUUUUGUGUGUCUUCAGAUUCUUGUAAUCUAUAGGGUUUUUAAGUUACAUAGUAAAAUAGACCAAGUCAGAAAUCUAACAUGACCAAAUAUGCUGACAUAACUUUAAAAUAGCCACUAGAAUAUUGCACUAUGGAAUGCUAUAAAUAUGGUAAUUACAUACACUGGGAUUUUAUUCUGCCUUGUGUCUUUUUAAGACCAUAUAUUUUGUCCUUUAUUGUAAUUUACUAUUGGUUUUAUGUGGAUUACGUACAGAUGGUGUCCAUAUAGGGGCAGUACCUCAGUUCCUCAGGUUUACAAAUGGGGACGGUUACAGAGCAUUUUGUGGCAUCCGGGAUCUUUGAUGGCAUCCAGAAUCUUUGCCCGUGGGUUGGGUGCUCAAGUUGGACGUUACAGAGGGAUUGCCUGUGUCAAAUGAACAAUUGACCUCACUGCAGUCCACUGAUCUGAUUCACGUUUGUCACAGAGAGGACAAUGACAACAUGUGUAUAUCUUGCGUCCUGUGGUUGUUUGCUCCAAGUUUGGGUCGAAGCUGUUAGCUCGUGCUCCCGGUCCGGAGCUGGGCAUAGGGAAUGUCUGUAGCCGUCGCUUUUAGGCUGUUGAGCCCAGCGCAGUCUCUGUGAUGCCUUUUCACUUCUAGCGCAUUAUGACCAUAGUGAUUAUUGCCCUUGCAAAAACAACACGUUCUGCUAAUAGCCGCUGCUUGGUGGGUGGGAGGAGAGCAGAAGAGGGCAGAGCAGACAGACGGGGGUAUUUGUGUUCCCAGCGUCUUUCUCCUGCGAUGAAGCCGCCGGACCCCGCUCGGACGGGGGUUCGCUUGCUUACCCCGGAGACCCAUCCUAAUGCCAGCAAACUGCCCUUAAAGGAUUCUUUCACUUAUGACGACUACAGGUUGGUCUGUCUUUUAAUUCUUCUUUUUUUCUUUCUUUCUUUUCUUUUUUUAAUAUGGUGAACUGUGGGGCCUUGGAAAUUCUUCAUUGGUGGGAAAGCCCUAUUGUCACUGAAAUGUUAAGUGUAGGAUUUGAUACCGAUA
rnacentral:lncRNA from 1 species